rnacentral:sRNA from 2 species
AUAUGUCCUCGUUAGGUGAGGCUCCUAUAUGAACAUAGGCCACUGCCCAGAAAUAUCGAAAGAUGCCCAUGGGUAGAACAGGGAUUGCCGGAUUAAGGCUUUUCAUAAUGUGGCUAAGAGUGUUAUCACUCUUUACGUUGUAUAGUGCCAAAACUCGACUAGGGGGAAUACGC